rnacentral:rRNA from 1 species
UACGUAGGGGGCAAGCGUUGUCCGGAUUUAUUGGGCGUAAAGCGCUCGCAGGUGGUCCGAUGCGUCGUGCGUGAAAGACCCCGGCUCAACUGGGGGGCGUCGUGCGAUACGGUCGGACUGGAGGCCAGUAGGGGGAUGCGGAAUUCCGGGUGUAGUGGUGGAAUGCGUAGAGAUCCGGAGGAACACCAGCGGCGAAGGCGGCAUCCUGGACCAACACUGACGCUGAGGAGCGAAAGCCAGGGGAGCAAACGGG